rnacentral:rRNA from 1 species
AACGGGUGAGUAACGCGUUGGUGACCUGCCUCGAAGAUUGGGAUAACAGUUCGAAAGGACUGCUAAUACCGGAUGUGAUGCUGGAGAUUAGAAGCUCUGGGAUUAAAGGAGCAAUCCACUUCGAGAGGGGCCUGCGUCCCAUCAGCUAGUUGGUAAGGUAAAGGCUUACCAAGGCGAUGACGGGUAGGGGACCUGAGAGGGUGGCCCCCCACAAUGGAGCUGAAACACGGUCCAUACACCUACGGGUGGCAGCAGUAGGGAAUAUUGCAUAAUGGGCGAAAGCCUGAUGCAGCAACGCCGCGUGUGCGAUGAAGGGCUUCGGGUCGUAAAGCCUUUUGAAGGGGAUGAGGAAGGACGUACCCUUCGAAUAAGCUUCGGCAACUACGUGCAGCAGCCCGGUAAAACGUAGGAAGCGAGCGUUAUCCGGAUUUACUGGGCGUAAAGCGCGUGUAGGCGGUCCUGUAAGUUGGAUGUGAAAGCUUCUGGCUUAAUUGGGAGAGGUCGUUCAAAACUGCGAGACCAGAGGAUGGGAGAGGGAAGUGGAAUUCCGGGUGUAGUGGUGAAAUGCGUAGAUAUCCGGAGGAACACCCCGUGGCCAAAGCCGCUUCCUGGGCCCCUUAACUGACCCUCAGACCCCAAAGCUAGGGGGAGCGAACGGGAUUAGAGACCCCCCGGUAGUCCUAGCUGUAAACAUGUGGACUUUGGCCUUUGGCGGGUUUUAAAUUCCGUCCGUGCCCAAGCAAACGCCGAUUAAGUCCCAC